rnacentral:rRNA from 1 species
UACGAAGGGUGCUAGCGUUGUUCGGAAUCACUGGGCGUAAAGCGCGCGUAGGCGGCUUUUCAAGUCAGAGGUGAAAUCCCCAGGCUCAACCUGGGAAUUGCCUUUGAAACUGUAAAGCUGGAGUGUCGGAGGGGAUAGCGGAAUUGCUAAUGUAGAGGUGAAAUUCGUAGAUAUUAGCAGGAACACCGGUGGCGAAGGCGGCUAUCUGGACGACAACUGACGCUGAGGCGCGAAAGCGUGGGGAGCAAAC